rnacentral:rRNA from 1 species
UACGUAGGGUGCAAGCGUUGCCCGGAUUUACUGGGCGUAAAGGGCGCGUAGGCGGCCAGCACAAGUCAGUUGUGAAAUCUCCGAGCUUAACUCGGAACGGUCAACUGAUACUGUGCGGCUAGAGUGCGGAAGGGGCAACUGGAAUUCUUGGUGUAGCGGUGAAAUGCGUAGAUAUCAAGAGGAACACCUGCGGCGAAGGCGGGUAGCUGGGCCGACACUGACGCUGAGGCGCGAAAGCCAGGGGAGCGAACGGG